ensembl:lncRNA
AGCACAACAUUUGGAGGCCCCAGCAAGAUCAGAGACCCUCCAGCUCCUGGAACUCCAAUGCCUCCAAGAUCCACACAGGGAGAAGAGUCAUUUCUUAGGAGGCAUGCACCCUGAUGAUGUUCCAGGGCCCUGAGGAAAAACCACCUGAGCUCCUCCGUGCUGAUCCCAGGAGACUUCACCUGGAUAUUAGAGAACGGAGUCUCCCAGUCUGGAAAUCCUCCAGAGCAGGGUCUCUCACUCCCCUGCUGUCUCCUCUCUGCACUCUCUUUAACAAUGUUUCUUUCCCUUUUGCUUUAACCCUUCACCUGCCCCCUCACAAGAGGACUCUCGGCUAACCGGCAGAAGAUGGUGAAAGCAAUCCGGCCAGGGCUACUCUCUGGAGGGCCCUGAAGGCAUCACUACUUGCUCUGCCUCAGUAGCUGUCACCCAGAAGGAUGCAGCUGCCAUUUUUCUACUCCAAGAGGCUGCACCAGGAGACAUGCCAGGAGUUCCCUUCAUGGUAUAUGUGCCCUUCUCUGCCUCUGAUCUCUAUAACUGGAAACUUCAGAAUCCCUCUUUCUCAGAAAAACCUAAAAAUCUUAUCUCCCUGCUUGAAACUGUCUUUUACACUCACCAACCCACUUGGGAAGACUGCCAGCAGCUGCUCCAGACUGUUUACCACAGAGGAGUGGGACCGGAUCCUGGCAGAAAGCCAGAAGGCAAUUCAAGGACCAGAUGGAAGGGCAGGCCAGGAGCAAUGUAUAAAGCACUGGUUCCCCUAACAACACCCUAACUGGGACCCUAACUCCAGAGAAGGUGAUGCUCUUACAGUAUGCCGAUGACCUCCUGCUGGAAGCAGCAACCAAAAAUCCUGCUGAGAUGCUACAGAAGGACUGCUAGGAAUUCUCCAAGUGCUCAGAUACCAAGUUUCAGCACAAAAGGCUCAGCUCUGCACCCUCCAAGCCACCUACCAGGGGUAUGACCUAGAAGGAGGUAAGAGCACCCUAUCUGCCUCUUGGGUCUCUGCUGUCCUAAAAAUUCCAACUCCCACCACAAAGAAACAGGUGUGAGAAUUCCUUGGAGCAGUGGGAUACUGCCACCUCUGGAUCCUAGAUUUCGCAGAAUUGGCAAAACCCCUCUAUUCUGCCACUGCUGGGGGAAAUACCCCAUUAAUAUGGACAGAGGCUGAACAACAGACCUUUGCAAACCUAAAAAAAAGGACCUAACAUCAGUUCCCACACUUGCCUUGCCUGGUAUAACCAAGCCCUUCCACCUAUACAUAGAUGAGACAAAAGGCAUAGCUAAGGGAGCAUUAGUGCAAGCUUUAGGGGCCUUUGAAGCACCCGGUGGCAUAUCUCUCAAAAGGACUGGAUCCAGCAGCCUCUGGUUGGCCAGCAUGCCUAUGUGUGGUAGGUGCAACAGCCAUCCUAGUUAAGGAAGCUGAUAAACUAACCCCGGGCCAGGACUUGCUCCUCACAUCCCUGCACACUGUGGAGGCCCUCCUAAGAGGAACUCCUGAAUGUUGGCUGUCAAAUGUGUGGCUUACUCAAUAGUAGGCCUUACUCUUAGACUAACCUUCAUUGAAGUUCCAAAAAUUGACAGCCCCAAAUCCAGCCACCCUCCUACCAGACAACGACCCACUGCAGCCCAUCCACAGCUGCGUGGAAAUCACAACCAGCCCACAAGGACUGUGACCAGAUCUGAGCGACAUUCCACUGGCACAACUUGAGGAGGUAUUCUUUAUGGAUGGGAGCAGUUUUAUAAAUGAUUGGGGUCAUGUUGGCAGGGGCUGCAGUCAUCAAUAAGGAGGGAGAAAUAAUAUGGGCUCAGCCUUUAGGCCAUGAGAGUUCAGCUCAGAUGGCAGAAUUGAUUGCCUUGACUGAGGCUCUGAGAAAGGCAAAAGGAAAAACUGUUAACAUUUAUACGGACAGCUGAUAUGCAUUUGCUACAGCAAAUGUGCAUGGGAGCCUCUACAAGGAGAGAGGUCUCUUAACAUCAGAAAGAAAGGACAUUAAAAAUAAAAAGGAAAUACUUGGGCUCCUAGAAGCCAUCUGGCUACCAGCAAAAGUUGCUAUCAUCCAUUGUAAAGGCCACUAAAGAGGGGAAUUCUCUCUAGAGGCAAAAGGGAACAGGGCAGCCAAUGUGGCAGCCAAGGAGCUAGCUAAAAAACAAGUGGGGAAGGCUAUGGCCCUGACCACAGUACCCACCCUUCCACCAAAACCUCAGUAUACACCUGAGGAAGAAAGAAGAAAUCACCAAUGAGGUGGACAAGCAAGGAUGGUGGCAUUUGCCAGAAGGAUGCAUCAGUGUACCCCAAGCCCUGGGGAAAACACUGAUCCAACUGCUGCAUUGCGGUACACAUCUAGGCACUCAGAAGAUGUCUGACCUCCUCCAGAGACACUACUACAUACCCGACCCAGAUGAUAUGAUCACAGACCAUGUGAGUAGAUGCCAAGUUUGUGCACAGAUGAACCAGAAGGGAGGACCCAAAUCCUCCCCCAGUGUAAGGUUCAGAGGAGCAUCCCCAGGGGAACAUUGGGGAGGUUGACUUCACAGAGGUAAGAACAACAACUGGAGGCUACAGGUACUUGCUGUUUUUUAUAGAUACUUAUUCUGGCUGGGUGGAAGCCUUCCUCAUCAAAAAAGAGACUGUUCAAUUACCAUCAAGAAACUGCUCUGUGUGUUGGUGCCUGGAUUUGGCCUUCCUUUAUCUUUGGGGUCCGACAAUGGCCUGGCCUUCAUGGCCAAAGUCUCAAAAUUAGUAAGUAAAGCCCUGGGCUUAAAACGGAAACUUCAUUGUGCUUAUUGCCUCCAAAGUUCAGGACAGGUAGAAAGGAUGAAUAGAACUCUGAAAGAAACCCUGACUAAACUAAGGCUUGAAACUGGCCAUGGUUGGAUAGAACUCCUGCCUGUCACCCUGCUAAAAGUGAGAUGCCCCCCCUAUAAAAGGGGAUUCACACCAUAUGAAAUCAUGUUUGGGAGAACUCCCCCUUUGUUACCAAGGGUAAAGUAUCCCGAGACUCUGGAAAUUUCUAACCAUAACCUAUGUAAGUCUUUAGGGGCCCUUCAAUGAGUCUAGACAGAAAUCCAUUGACUGGUUCAAGAGGCCAUACCCAGGCCAGAAGGGACUGAUGCAAAGCACACCUUCCAGCCAGGAGACCUCGUGUGGGUAAAACAAUUCUCAACCAAGGCCCUGGAACCCUCCUGGAAAGGACCUCACUCCGUUGGUGAAGGUUGCUGGGAAGGACUCCUGGAUACAUCACUCCAGGCAGAAGUCAGCUCCUCCAGAAAAGCCAGAUCAGAAAUGGACUGUCAAACAGUCAACUGAGGACCCACUAAAAAUAAUACUGGCAUCAGUUACCUUUGUUUAAUCUUUUUAUUUUCCUUCUUCUUAACACCUGGGACUGCUAUAUUUGUUUGGGGAUGGGAGGGCUACAACAGACAAGGGAUGAGCCCCCACUCAACCACUCAAAAAGACCACAACUGAAAAGGUCAAAGAACCCCAGCUACCCCUUCUUGAGCUGUCCAGAAAUCAAGCUAACUGGCUAACAUACAUCACCAAGGUGCAUGAAAUACCUGGCAAUAGCAAAAGCCCAUUAAUGAAAAACCGUUGGAUCUGUACCUCCUCUUCUCCUGGCUUAAUGCCUGUUGAUGAUUCUGAGGCCAAUCAAACAUUCACUAAUUUAAACUUGGCCACUCCAGAAUACUCCUUAAUGGGCCCCCUUCCUAUCCCUAAGAAACUUGCCAGAUGUUAUGUUCAAAAGGGCUCUAUUCCCUUAAAGGGACUGAGAGUACCCUUUGAUGCCUAUCACUGUAACCAGACAGCUACUGUCCCUAAAAAUACUCCCUGUACCACUACAGGGAAACUCUUUCAAUGUGGAGAUGUACUAUAUCGCUGCCUCCCCAAAAACUGGGAUGGAGUAUGCAUCAUUUCCUGGGCAAUCCCAGAUGCAUCCCUCAUCCCUGGAAAAUAAGCAUUCUCAUUACAGUAUACUGAAGGGCUCAUCCAAAAAAAUGAAUCAAGAGGACGUUUCCCCUCUUGAUUCCUCUUGUGGCAGCUCUGGGCGCCAUGGCAGGAGUAGGCAUAGGAGUGGCUGGGAUAGUACAGAGCACAGGCCUGUCUGAGCAAGUCCAGGGUGACCUGGAUACAGUCAUGUCAAUGGUACUUUCUUUACAAGAUCAGUUGAACUCAUUGGCAGAAGUUGUAUUACAAAAUAGAAGGGGCCUAGAUCUCCUAACAGUGGAGAAAGGGGGCCUUUGUACUUUCCUGGGUGGACAAUGCUGUUUCUACACAAACCUGGCAUAGUUCAUGAUAUGGUACAACAGUUAAGAGACCAGAUAGCAAAAAACAAGCCAGAUAUAAAAAUAAUUGUUUAUGGGACAGACUUUCUGGAUGGCUCCCCUGGCUCCUCCCUAUGUUAGGCCCAAUAGUCACUAUAGGACUAAUUUUACUUUUGCACCUUGUCUCCUCUGAUGUGUUACAGGAUUUAUGCAAGACAGGAUAAAAGCAUUUGCUAACCAGACCAUCUCACAGAUGGUCCUAAAUAAAUACAAACCUGUGCCUAACAGUGAGUCAAUGAUUUGACUCAAAGGAGGUAAACAAAACCAGUGAGGAAUGAAGGACAUAAGCCUGGGCCUCAUUAACAUUCCACAGGGCCAGUGUAAAGCGAUCAACCCAGCACCUAAGUCUCCAUCUGACCGAAGCCCCCUUCCUUAGAAGAACAAAGUUAGCUAAUAAGGAGGACUGCAGAUGCUACAAGGUUACCCGUCUAAUUGACUCUUUGGCACCAGCAUAAGCUGCCUGCUUGAAGUUAGAAGAUAUGGCCCUUACCAUAAAUCAUUAUGGUUAACAUAAACACUAUUACUAAUUAAGGUUUGAAGUAUUUUAACUGCCACUUUGUUUUUGCACCCCUGCUUAUGCACGUGCGCCCCCUCCCAACCUGGAUGUAAGUUUGCCUUUAUAAACACUGUCUGUUUCUUUCUUUGGGGCUUCACACUCAAGUUGAUUUUAGGCAGUAUGUG